rnacentral:rRNA from 1 species
GCAAGGCCUUGCGCUCUUUGAGCGGCCGAUGUCAGAUUAGCUAGUUGGUGAGGUAAAGGCUUACCAAGGCGACGAUCUGUAGCGGGUCUGAGAGGAUGAUCCGCCACACUGGAACUGAGACACGGUCCAGACUCCUACGGGAGGCAGCAGUGGGGAAUUUUGGACAAUGGGGGCAACCCUGAUCCAGCCAUGCCGCGUGAGUGAAGAAGGCCUUCGGGUUGUAAGCUCUUUCGGCCGGGAAGAAAUCGCAUGGGCCAAUACCCUGUGUGGAUGACGGUACCGGAAUAAGAAGCACCGGCUAACUACGUGCCAGCAGCCGCGGUAAUACGUAGGGUGCGAGCGUUAAUCGGAAUUACUGGGCGUAAAGCGUGCGCAGGCGGUUUUGUAAGACAGGCGUGAAAUCCCCGGGCUUAACCUGGGAACUGCGUUUGUGACUGCAAGGCUAGAGUACGGCAGAGGGGGGUGGAAUUCCACGUGUAGCAGUGAAAUGCGUAGAGAUGUGGAGGAACACCAAUGGCGAAGGCAGCCCCCUGGGUCGAUACUGACGCUCAUGCACGAAAGCGUGGGUAGCAAACAGGAUUAGAUACCCUGGUAGUCCACGCCCUAAACUAUGUCAACUAGGUGUUGGGUGGGUAAAACCAUUUAGUACCGUAGCUAACGCGUGAAGUUGACCGCCUGGGGAGUACGGCCGCAAGGUUAAAACUCAAAGGAAUUGACGGGGACCCGCACAAGCGGUGGAUGAUGUGGAUUAAUUCGAUGCAACGCGAAAAACCUUACCUACCCUUGACAUGCCAGGAACUUGCCAGAGAUGGCUUGGUGCCCGAAAGGGAGCCUGGACACAGGUGCUGCAUGGCUGUCGUCAGCUCGUGUCGUGAGAUGUUGGGUUAAGUCCCGCAACGAGCGCAACCCUUGUCGUUAAUUGCCAUCAUUUAGUUGGGCACUUUAACGAGACUGCCGGUGACAAACCGGAGGAAGGUGGGGAUGACGUCAAGUCCUCAUGGCCCUUAUGGGUAGGGCUUCACACGUCAUACAAUGGUCGGUACAAAGGGUUGCCAAGCCGCGAGGCGGAGCCAAUCCCAGAAAGCCGAUCGUAGUCCGGAUUGCAGGCUGCAACUCGCCUGCAUGAAGUCGGAAUCGCUAGUAAUCGUGGAUCAGCAUGUCACGGUGAAUACGUUCCCGGGUCUUGUACACACCGCCCGUCACACCAUGGGAGCGGGUUCCGCCAGAAGUAGGUAGCCUAACCGCAAGGGGGGCGCUUACCACGGCGGGGUUC